CUCAGCCAGCACCCAGGCAAUGAAUCUGCCCGCUCCCACUGCCACCUCCAGGAAGUACUCAGCAAUCAGGGCAUAAUCUGCCCUGUUGUUGACCAAGUGACUCCGCAGACCAAGAAACAUGACUUCCUGGACUGCUGAGCCUUUUUAUUUGGCGAUACCAGAGAGGGAGCAGAGAAGGCAAUGGCCCCCCACUCCAGUACUCUUGCCUGGAAAAUCCCAUGGACCGAGGAGCCUGGUUAGCUUUUUCUGCUUCUCAGACAUGCAGCUGGAAAAGGCUACCUCUCACCUGCCUCAAUGCCAGCAACCAAAGGAGACAAGCACUGGUGGAUUCUUUACCACUGAGCCACCUGGGAAGCCCUACCCUACGUUUCACGAUGAAUGAGUGAGUGAGUGAUAGUCGCUCAAGUCAUGUGCGACACUUUGAGACCCUGUGGACUAGAGCCUGCCAGACUCCUCUGUCCAUAGAAUUCUCCAACACCUCAUGAUGCAUCCAAAGUAAAUCUUCAGUUAUGUAAUUUCCUAGUUUAAAACAAAACAAAAUAAAACAAAUGCAUGUUGUUAAAAAUCUCA
rnacentral:lncRNA from 1 species